rnacentral:lncRNA from 1 species
GUGACGGAUGGAAGGAGGCCGUGAGGAGGGAAUGGUGUGAGGUGUGGAGGUGUGAGGGAGUCGGAGGGGAGGGGCGUGAAUGAGUGGAGGCGCCGAGGGUGUGUCGUGAGUGAAUGUGGAUGCCAUGGAUGAGUGGAGAGGGCAUUAUUGCAUUGUAAGUGAAUGAGGACGCCAUGAGUGUGCUGCAGGGGACUGAGUUACCAAGAGCGAGCUGUCAUGGGGGAGAUGGGCCUGAUGAAGUACUGCGAGGAGACGCAGCAGGAGGACGUCCUCGUCACCGGGAUCACGCAGUCCGACAACCCCUUCAAGGAGAACAAGGCGUGCACCAUCUUGUGAUGCAGGCCAAACCGCACUAAAGCGGCGAAAGUGUGAAGGCGAGAAGAGCAGGACAGAAGCAGCAGAAGAAGAAGCCCUGCUGAUCUAUAUUUAAAAAAAAAAAAAAUACAAGAAGAAAGAAAGAGAUUUAUUCGUCGCCUUCCACUCACUGCUUUUUCUUCUCGGAUUAUCUCAGAUUUAUCUUUGCUUAUUUUUGUUAUUGGUUAUGCCUUGAUUUGAUUUUUUCAUUGCAAUCAUUAUUACGUGCGUUGCAUAUCGUUAUUUAUUGAAGUUCUUUGUUAUUUUGUUUUCUCUCUCUCUUGAGAAUUUGUUUUUAAAAAAUCAGAAAGACACAAAUCAUUCAAGCGGAAUUCGUUAUUUAUAAGUUGUAGGUAAUUAUUGCAAUGGAAAUAAAUUCCUUUUAUCUCAGAGGCUGAUGUGGUAAGCCUUCACGUUUGCUUGUUGUUUGUUUCUCUCUCCACGUUGUUCAAAGCUCACUGAUAAGGUUGUAUGAAACGCGAGGCCGCAGUGGAGGCCCUAAGCGUAGGUGUGUACGCGUGUUUGUGUGUACGUUUUUGUAUGUGCGUUAGUGUGGAAGUUCAUACUAAAAGAAUCACUCCCUUCUUCCCUCCCUCCCUCCCUCCCUCCCUCCCUCCCUCCCUCCCCCUCUGAAUCUUCUAGAACACAAGGCACCCCUCCCCCCCUCUUCUGAUACAAGAAGUCCCCCCCCGCCCCCAGUUCCCUUCUCUGAUGAUAGAUGCCAACCUUUCUAAAUUAAGAGGUUAACCCCCAUCCCUUCUACGCGAAGAGGUCAGAACCCAGUAACCUUCUGCAUUGCGGUUAAAGAUCCUAACCCAUUUAGAUUAAAAGGUCAAAGGUCCAUUCUGAACAAAGAGGUCAACCCCCCUCCUACCUUCUGAACCUGAAGGGAGGACGGCUAAGGUCAUUGCGAGACUACGAGACUACGAGACUGAGGCCCCACGUGCCUGGCGCCUUUCGUCCCUCUGACAGACAUGUUUACCAACUCAAAGCUUCUGGAGGAAUCUCUCUCAUUAUCCUCCUCCUCUUCCUCUUCUUCGUCCUCUUCUUCUUUCUCUUUCGUUCCUAUUCCUUCUUCCUUACCCUCUUCGGUGUCUUUGCCUGCUAUGUCUCCCUCUUACGUUUCCUCUUCCUCUUCUGUUUAUUCCUCCGAUUCGUUUUCGGCUUCUCAAAUCCAUCCUUCUUCCUCUUUCGCUUUCUCUUCUUCCUUCCUUUCAUCCGGUUCUCCUAGUUCUUAUUCUCUGUCUUCUUCUCUGUCUCGCAAUCUUUCUCAUCCAUCUUCUUCUCUGGGUUCGUCUUCCUCUUCUUCGUAUUUAUAUUUUCCUAGUUUCUCUUCCCUCCCCGCUUCGUAUCCUUUGCUACUCUUCCGCGUUUGCCUCUUCUCGUCUUUAUUCCACUUCUCGGCCACCUGUCUGUUUUUCUCUCUUCUCUCUAUCCACACUUGCCUCGCCUCUUUCUUCGUCUUUUGUUUCUCCUUCGCUUCUCUCUCAUCGAUUUUCAUUCCCUCUUUUCUACUUCUCUUCGCACUUUUCCUCUUAUUCUGCAUAUUCUGCUUUCUUCUGCUCUUUCUCCCAUUUUGCGUAUUUUCCCGUAAAUUUACAAAGUCGUUCGAAAGUGGACCGUAAACGAAUGUGCUUUCGUGUGAAUGAGCGUUUUCGUGUGGGUAUUUGUGUGUGAGUGUGUGUCUUUUCGUCUCUAUGUGUAUGUAUUUUUGCCUGCAUAUGUGUCUCUAUGUCUUUUCGUCUGUGUGUGCGCGCGCACUUUUCCUUUCUAAAUUAUUUGUAUAGGAAUUAGCUUACUGUAAUUUGCGAAGUCGCUCUGCUAUGGCGUUUUAAGGGGUAGGGAAGGGGAGUGGAGGGGAGAGGAGUGGAGAGGGGAGGGAGAGGAGAGGAGGAAAGAGAAGAGGGGAGAAGAUAGAAGAAGAAAGGAGGGGAGGGGAUAUUAAAAGAGGGGAAGAGGAUAGGGGAUGAUGAAGUAGGAGAGAAGAAUUGUGGAUUUUCUCGCCCGACUGACACUUCGCGAAGGAAGGAAUAAGAGAGGGAACCAGAUGAGGAAUAAAAGACAAACAAAAAAAAGAAACAAAAAACCUACAGCACUGAGUUCCGUUAGAAAAAAAAGAAGAAAGAACGAAAAGGACAAUUUAGACAAACAAACUUUGCAACACGAGUUAUGCAAUUAUCAUAAAUCAUUAGCGGAUUAAAGGUUUUCUCAAAUCAAUCUGAAGGAUGAAAGUAGUGAGAGAUAUAAAGUGUCAUUGAUUGAGAAAUGGUCAGUGUUAACUGUCCCACAGAUAAUAUUUAUCAGCUUUGACAAUGAUAUAUAUACGUAGUGGUAAUAGUAUAGUACUGAAGGUAGAAAAUAAAGAUACAGUGUGUCCUGAAGGUUAUUGCAAUAGGUUUGUUUCAUAAUUACAAUCACGUUAGUAAUACGGAAAAAAAAACAUUACUAUUGAUAAAACUAGAUACUGAUAAAGAUCGAUAAAUAAAAUUAUAUACAUUAUACAUUCGAAUCCGCCAUGACUAUCGUCUCAGGUUUUUUGAAAAAUAGCAAACAGCAAAUAUUGUUCUUUGCAAACAAUAUUUUUGAACACUUAUCAAGCUUCAUUAUUCUGAGGUCAUUUGAAUGCCACGGUGAG